rnacentral:rRNA from 1 species
GAUGAACGCUGGCGGCGUGCCUAAUACAUGCAAGUCGAACGAGGUGCUUUUGUAGCAAUACGAGAGUAUCCUAGUGGCGAACGGGUGAGUAACGCGUUGGUGACCUACCCCAAAGUGUGGAAUAACAGUCCGAAAGGAUUGCUAAUACCGCAUGUGGUUAUCGGGUUUAGAAACUGAUAACUAAGGGAGCAAUUCGCUUUGGGAGGGACCUGCGUCCCAUCAGCUAGUUGGUGAGGUAAUGGCUCACCAAGGCUACGACGGGUAGGGGACCUGAGAGGGUGACCCCCCACAAUGGAACUGAAACACGGUCCAUACACCUACGGGUGGCAGCAGUAGGGAAUAUUGCACAAUGGGCGAAAGCCUGAUGCAGCAACGCCGCGUGCACGAUGAAGGCCUUCGGGUCGUAAAGUGCUUUUCUGGGAGAUGAGAAAGGACAGUAUCCCAGGAAUAAGUCUCGGCUAACUACGUG